UGGGGGAUAUUGCACAAUGGGCGAAAGCCUGAUGCAGCGACGCCGCGUGGGGGAUGAAGGCCUUCGGGUUGUAAACUUCUUUUGCUCUGAACAAGGCAUGCCUUUGGGGUGUGUUGAGUGUAGGGGUUGAUUAGCGCCGGCUGACUACGUGCCAGCAGCCGCGGUAAUACGUAGGGCGCGAGCGUUGUCCGGAAUUAUUGGGCGUAAAGGGCUUGUAGGUGGCUGGUUGCGUCUGUCGUGAAAGCUCAUGGCUUAACUGUGGGUUUGCGGUGGGUACGGGCUGGCUUGAGUGCAGUAGGGGAGGCUGGAAUUCCUGGUGUAGCGGUGGAAUGCGCAGAUAUCAGGAGGAAUACCGGUGGCGAAGGCGGGUCUCUGGGCUGUUACUGACGCUGAGGAGCGAAAGCGUGGGGAGCGAACAGG
rnacentral:rRNA from 1 species